UAACAGCCUGUUCCACGAUGUCGAAAGAACACGUUCGCACAACUUUUACACGACAAACAGCUGAUUUCCGUUCCACUAAAAUCCAUCAGAACGAAAAUUUGCACGAAAAUCAAAGCGAACGAAAACGUAAGCGUUUCAGUGUAAUUUUGCGUUCCACUAUCUUUUUUCUUUCGUACGCAUGCGAACACAAAUGUCAAAAUCAGUCACUUGUGUGUUUGCUGUCGAAUGAUAAAAAUUAAGGAAAAUUGUUUUAACAUAAACAUUCCUUGAUUGAAAAUGGAAAGAAAAAUCACGAAAAAACUACACAGCUGCGGGCACUAGUUGAGUAUAUGGGGGAGAAUCCUAAGUUCGCCAGAGGAGUGCCAAUUUUUGGAAGCAGCAGGCAAUCCCAUGAAGACCACUGGAAGACACAAACCUAGAAAAAAUCAUUUUUUUAUUAUUUCAAAAAUGUAAAAAUACAAUCAUACUUACUGGUUGUUAGGUACUUCAAAUAAAUUCGAAGCAUCUCUUAAA